GGUUGGUCUGUGUGGCUGGGAUGUUGAGAACGUGCUAAGAGUGCAUGGGGGUGUGGUGGGGAACUUGGGGGCUUGAAGACCCUCUUCAAUCUCUCUCUGGGCUUCCGGAACAGGCCACUGGGAACCAGGCCAGUGUUCAGAAACCACAGGAGAGGCAUUUGUUCUGGACUCUGGGACUCCCGUGGUCAGUCCUCCCUGCCUCCAAUGGAUGCCUGAAGCCAGGAAAGCUAGGUGCCGUGUGCCCACCUCUCAGGGUGGCCAUGGUGUUGGAUGGGCUGCACCGAUUCGAGAAGAACCGGAAGAAAAAAGUUUAUGGAAACAGUAAAGGUCUGCAUUUUCCAUUAAGGCACUCAGUAGAUUCCAAACUUUAAUGAUAAAAGCCAUCCAAAGUGAUUCAGUGAAGUGUUCUUUCUAAAUAUGUUAGUUACUGAGAUUAUUUAAUAGCGGUACCCUGGAAAUGUACAUCCUCACGGCAAACUACCCACUCAGGUGUGUGGGAGGGCACUGUAUUCAGUUACUCAUGGGUCUGGACCAGGCUUUCCUAUCCUGCUUUCAG
ensembl:lncRNA